rnacentral:lncRNA from 1 species
UGUAGAAAUUGAACCUCAUAAACAUGCAAUGUGGAAUUUGUAUCUCAAAGAAGUAUACAUACUUAUCAGGUUUAAUUAGAACAUAAACAUGCAAUGUGGAAUUUGUAUCUCAAAGAAGCAUACAUACUUAUCAGGUUUAAUUAGCACAGAGAAGCCAAAUGCUAGUAACUCAUGAUUAGUACACAAGACAGGAUUCAACCCUCCUUUUGCGAUUGAGCAACAACACCCGAGGAAAUUAAAAGAAAGCAGCCCCCCAAUUCCAUUUCUAUUUU